CAGGUCGCUAGGAGGGAGAAGCGGAAAACAUGCACCUGUUAGCGACCGCGCGCGGCCGGGCAGCGGCGGGCCAAGCAGGGGUUGCGGCCGGCACCCGGGCGGCUCCCCCGCGCCCCCCCGGCGCCCCCCGGCCCCUUACUCGAUGAAGAAGACGCGGCCGUCGCCGCAGACGCCGUAGGACCAGUGCUCAGCAGCUUACCGCGCUGAACGGGCUCCGCCGGGUAGCACCAGGGGCCGGCCUGCUGCGGUUACGCACAACUUGCACAAGACCAGAGGAGCAACGGAUGCCAGCUCCAAAGCCAGGAGUGUACGGCAUGGACAAGACCUGUUUCCAAGGUCUGAUAGGAAGGAGGAACAUCCUUAAAGCAAGUUAUUGUUAAAUAAAGAGCCCAGAUGACUCUC